rnacentral:rRNA from 1 species
GAAAGUAAAAAAGGGCGUAUGGGGAAUGCCUAGGCUCUUGGAGGCGAAGAAAGACGUGGUAAGCUGCGAAAAGCCUCGGGGAUUUGCAAACAAGAUUUGAUCCGAGGAUCUCUGAAUGGGACAACCCGGCAGGUAGAAGACCUGUCAUCCGGCAACGGAAGCCAACCCUCUGAACUGAAACAUCUUAGUAGGAGGAGGAAAAGAAAGAAACAUCGAUUUCCUAAGUAGCGGCGAGCGAACGGGAAGCAGCCCAAACCGUAUCUGUUACGGCAGGUGCGGGGUUGUAGGACUGCAACAUUCAAACAACGACGAACUGGAACGGACUGGAAAGUUCGGCCAAAGAGGGUGAAAGCCCCGUACAGGUAAGUUAGUUGUGCGAUAGCAGUAUCCUGAGUAUGGCGGGACACGAGGAAUCCUGUCAGAAUUCGCCGGGACCACCCGGUAAGGCUAAAUACUCCCAAGAGACCGAUAGUGAACCAGUACCGUGAGGGAAAGGUGAAAAGUACCCCGAACAGGGGAGUGAAAUAGAACCUGAAACCAUACGCUUACAACCGGUCGGAGCGGCUUCGUGCCGUGACGGCGUGCCUAUUGAAUAAUGAGCCUACGAGUUACUAAUCACUGGCGAGGUUAAGUGCUAGGAAGCACGGAGCCGAAGCGAAAGCGAGUCUGAACAGGGCGGCCAGUCAGUGGUUGUAGACGCGAAACCUUGCGAUCUACCCUUGAGCAGGAUGAAGGUUGGGUAACACCAACUGGAGGUCCGAACGAAUAAGCGUUGAAAAGCUUCUCGAUGACUUGAGGGUAGGGGUGAAAGGCUAAUCAAGCUGGGAAAUAGCUCGUACUCCCCGAAAUGCCUUUAGGGGCAGCGUUGUAAUAAAGAGUCUACUGGAGGUAGAGCUACUGAUUGGAUGCGGGGGCUUCACCGCCUACCAAAUCCUGACAAACUCCGAAUGCCAGUAGUAUGAUUUACAGCAGUGAGCGGCCGGGUGCUAAUGUCCGGUCACAAAAGAGGAACAACUCAGACCAGCAACUAAGGUCCCCAAGAAUAUGCUAAGUUGAUCUAACGAUGUUUUGUUGCAGAGACAGCUAGGAUGUUAGCUUGGAAGCAGCUAUUCAUUCAAAGAGUGCGUAACAGCUCACUAGUCGAGCGACAGAGCGUGGAUAAUAAACGGGCAUCAAGCAUAUCACCGAAGUUCUGGACGCGAAAGCGUGGUAGGGGAGCAUUCCAUCGACGUUGAAGCCGAUUCGUGAGGAUUGGUGGAGUUUAUGGAAAAGCAAAUGUAGGCAUAAGUAACGAUAAUGCGGGAGAGUAACCCGCACACCGCAAGACCAAGGUUUCCUGAUCAACGCUAAUCGGAUCAGGGUUAGUCGGGUCCUAAGGGUAAGCCGAACGGUGAUCUCGAUGGACAAUCGGUUAAUAUUCCGAUACUAACAUACACCUCGAUGGAGAGACGAAGGAACGUAAGUGUCGCCGCCUGACGGAAUAGGUGGUUAAAGGGCGUAGGUAAAGGAGCAGAUUAAGAGUUAGCAACUGCUGAAACCCGACAGUACGGAGCGGCUACGGCCAAUCCGAUAGUGCACCCAAGUAGACUUCCGAGAAAAUCUUCUAAGUUAUAGUGUAUGUUACCCGUACCGUAAACCGACACAGGUGGUCGAGGAGAGUAUCCUAAGGUGCUCGAGUGAAUCACGGUUAAGGAACUAGGCAAAUUAACCCCGUAACUUCGGGAAAAGGGGUCCCUAUGAAAGUAGGGCGCAGCGAAAAGGUCCAGGCGACUGUUUAUCAAAAACACAGGGCUCUGCAAAUUCGAAAGAAGACGUAUAGGGCCUGACACCUGCCCGGUGCUGGAAGGUUAAGAGGGGAUGUCAUCGCAAGAGAAGCAUUGAAUCGAAGCCCCAGUAAACGGCGGCCGUAACUAUAACGGUCCUAAGGUAGCGAAAUUCCUUGUCGGGU